rnacentral:rRNA from 1 species
CCUACGGGAGGCAGCAGUGGGGAAUAUUGCUCAAUGGGGGCAACCCUGAAGCAGCGACGCCGCGUGGAGGAUGAAGGUUUUCGGAUUGUAAACCCCUUUUGGUAGAGAAGAAAAUGACGGUAUCUAACGAAUAAGCACCGGCUAACUCCGUGCCAGCAGCCGCGGUAAUACGGAGGGUGCAAGCGUUAACCGGAUUCACUGGGCGUAAAGGGGGCGCAGGCGGGUUUGAAAGUCUGAUGUGAAAUGCUCUGGCUAAACCCCCGGACGGCUGUUGAAACUGGAAUUCUGGAGUGAGGGAGAGGUAGGCGGAAUUCCUGGUGUAGCGGUGAAAUGCGUAGAUAUCAGGAGGAACACCGAUUGCGAAGGCGGCAUACUGGAACUCAACUGACGCUGAUGCGCGAAAGCGUGGGGAGCAAACAGGAUUAGAUACCCUUGUAGUC